GACGAACGCUGGCGGCGUGCUUAACACAUGCAAGUCGAACGGUGAUGCAGAGCUUGCUCUGCGGAUCAGUGGCGAACGGGUGAGUAACACGUGAGUAACCUGCCCUCGACUCUGGGAUAAGCGUUGGAAACGACGUCUAAUACCGGAACGACCCGUGGAGGCAUCUCCUACGGGUGGAAAGAGUUUCGGUCGAGGAUGGACUCGCGGCCUAUCAGCUUGUUGGUGAGGUAAUGGCUCACCAAGGCGACGACGGGUAGCCGGCCUGAGAGGGUGUCCGGCCACACUGGGACUGAGACACGGCCCAGACUCCUACGGGAGGCAGCAGUGGGGAAUAUUGCACAAUGGGCGCAAGCCUGAUGCAGCAACGCCGCGUGAGGGAUGACGGCCUUCGGGUUGUAAACCUCUUUUGGCAGAGAAGAAGCGAAAGUGACGGUACCUGCAGAAAAAGCACCGGCUAACUACGUGCCAGCAGCCGCGGUAAUACGUAGGGUGCAAGCGUUGUCCGGAAUUAUUGGGCGUAAAGAGCUCGUAGGCGGUUUGUCGCGUCUGCUGUGAAAACGCGAGGCUCAACCUCGCGCCUGCAGUGGGUACGGGCAGACUAGAGUGCGGUAGGGGAGAUUGGAAUUCCUGGUGUAGCGGUGGAAUGCGCAGAUAUCAGGAGGAACACCGAUGGCGAAGGCAGAUCUCUGGGCCGUUACUGACGCUGAGGAGCGAAAGCGUGGGGAGCGAACAGGAUUAGAUACCCUGGUAGUCCACGCCGUAAACGUUGGGCGCUAGAUGUGGGGACCAUUCCACGGUUUCCGUGUCGCAGCUAACGCAUUAAGCGCCCCGCCUGGGGAGACGGCCGCAAGGCU
rnacentral:rRNA from 1 species